UGAGGAAUAUUGGUCAAUGGGCGUGAGCCUGAACCAGCCAAGUAGCGUGCGGGAUGAAGGCCCUCCGGGUCGUAAACCGCUUUUAGACGGGGAUAGAAGGGCGUACGCGUACGCCGUAUUGCAUGUACCGUCAGAAAAAGGACCGGCUAAUUCCGUGCCAGCAGCCGCGGUAAUACGGAAGGUCCGGGCGUUAUCCGGAUUUAUUGGGUUUAAAGGGAGCGUAGGCGGACUUUCAAGUCAGUGGUAAAAUCGUGUGGCUCAACCAUACCUCGCCAUUGAAACUGGAAGUCUGGAGUGCACACAGGGGUGCCGGAAUUCAUGGUGUAGCGGUGAAAUGCUUAGAUAUCAUGAAGAACUCCGAUCGUGAAGGCAAGUGCCCGGGGUGCAACUGACGCUGAGGCUCGAAGGUGCGGGUAUCGAACAGGAUUAGAUACC
rnacentral:rRNA from 1 species